AUUGAACACUGGCGGCAGGCCUAACACAUGCAAGUCGAGCGGCAGCGGGAAAGUAGCUUGCUACUUUUGCCGGCGAGCGGCGGACGGGUGAGUAACGCCUGGGAAAUUGCCCAGUCGAGGGGGAUGACAGUUGGAAACGACUGCUAAUACCGCAUACGCCCUACGGGGGAAAGCAGGGGACCUUCGGGCCUUGCGCGAUUGGAUAUGCCCAGGUGGGAUUAGCUAGUUGGUGAGGUAAUGGCUCACCAAGGCGACGAUCCCUAGCUGGUCUGAGAGGAUGAUCAGCCACACUGGAACUGAGACACGGUCCAGACUCCUACGGGAGGCAGCAGUGGGGAAUAUUGCACAAUGGGGGAAACCCUGAUGCAGCCAUGCCGCGUGUGUGAAGAAGGCCUUCGGGUUGUAAAGCACUUUCAGCGAGGAGGAAAGGUUGAUGCCUAAUACGUAUCAACUGUGACGUUACUCGCAGAAGAAGCACCGGCUAACUCCGUGCCAGCAGCCGCAGUAA
rnacentral:rRNA from 1 species